CAGUCGAGCGAGCGGAACCAACAGAUUUACUUCGGUAAUGACGUUGGGAAAGCGAGCGGCGGAUGGGUGAGUAACACGUGGGGAACCUGCCCCUAAGUCUGGGAUACCAUUUGGAAACAGGUGCUAAUACCGGAUAAUAAAGCAGAUCGCAUGAUCAGCUUUUGAAAGGCGGCGUAAGCUGUCGCUAAGGGAUGGCCCCGCGGUGCAUUAGCUAGUUGGUAAGGUAACGGCUUACCAAGGCGACGAUGCAUAGCCGAGUUGAGAGACUGAUCGGCCACAUUGGGACUGAGACACGGCCCAAACUCCUACGGGAGGCAGCAGUAGGGAAUCUUCCACAAUGGACGCAAGUCUGAUGGAGCAACGCCGCGUGAGUGAAGAAGGUUUUCGGAUCGUAAAGCUCUGUUGUUGGUGAAGAAGGAUAGAGGUAGUAACUGGCCUUUAUUUGACGGUAAUCAACCAGAAAGUCACGGCUAACUACGUGCCAGCAGCCGCGGUAAUACGUAGGUGGCAAGCGUUGUCCGGAUUUAUUGGGCGUAAAGCGAGCGCAGGCGGAAAAAUAAGUCUAAUGUGAAAGCCCUCGGCUUAACCGAGGAACUGCAUCGGAAACUGUUUUUCUUGAGUGCAGAAGAGGAGAGUGGAACUCCAUGUGUAGCGGUGGAAUGCGUAGAUAUAUGGAAGAACACCAGUGGCGAAGGCGGCUCUCUGGUCUGCAACUGACGCUGAGGCUCGAAAGCAUGGGUAGCGAACAGGAUUAGAUACCCUGGUAGUCCAUGCCGUANACGAUGAGUGCUAAGUGUUGGGAGGUUUCCGCCUCUCAGUGCUGCAGCUAACGCAUUA
rnacentral:rRNA from 1 species